UCGUGUGGUGCGGUUGUCCGAGAUCAUCGAGGAGGUUUCAUUGGUGCAUCUACAACUGCUUUGGCAUAUGUUGCUGAUGUAGUCUUGGCAGAAGCGGCCUCUUUACUCGAGGGACUCAAGCUUCUGCAAAGAAUUGGGUGUACUAAUUUUGUGGUGCAGAUGGACAAUAUUGUGGUGGUGAAUUCUCUGAUUCGGAAUGAAGGACACUCGAUGGUGGCGGCUCCGGUUAUAGAUGACUGUCGUAAUAUGUUGGCGGAUUUCGGGAAGGUUACUAUAGAACAUUGUAAUAGAGAAUCUAAUAUGGUAGCGCAUGUGUUAGCUCAAUGGGGACGUUCUAACCCUUCGUCUUUGUGGUUGGAAGAGCCUCCCAAUUUUAUUGCUAGUUCGCUAGGAGAUGAUGUGGCUGUUAUUUAA
rnacentral:rRNA from 1 species